ensembl:snRNA U6 U6 spliceosomal RNA
GUGUUCAGUUUUGCAGCAUAUGUACUAAAAUUGGAAUGAUACAGAGAAGAUUAGCAUGGCUCCUGCGCAAGGAUGACGCAAAAUUCUGACGUGUUCCAUUUUUUU